CCUGCGGCAGCUCUCGGUAGAGCAGGGCGUUUUAUAAACGCUUUGGGCAGAUAACCCCCAGGUCCAGGUUCGACUCCUGGCCGCAGGCCCA
rnacentral:tRNA from 1 species